GGACUCGGGGGGAAAGUAUGCUCGCAAGAGUGAAAACUUAAAGGAAUUGACGGAAGGGCACCACCAGAUGUGGAGCCUGCGGCUUUAAUUCGAUUCAACACGGUAAAACUUACCAGGUCCAGACAUAGCAAGGAUUGACAGAUUGAAGUUCUUUCUUGAUUCUAUGUAUGGUGGUGCAUGGCCGUUCUUAGUUGGUGGAGUGAUUUGUCUGGUUAAUUCCGAUAACGAACGAGACCUCAGCCAUUUAACUAGCUAUAUCUAAUUCGUUAGUUGCACAUUGUGUGUUUAGCUUCUUAAAGGGACAAUCUGCUAUCGCAGAAGGAAGAUUGAGGCAAUAACAGGUCAGUGAUGCCCUUAGAUGCUCUGGGCUGCACGCGCGCUACAAUGAUAUAUUCAGAAGGUUUUUCCCAAUGCCGAAAGGCAAUAGGAAAUCUUUAAAAUGUGUCUCAGUUGGGAUAGAUGAUUGCAAUUAUUCAUCUUGAACAAGGAAUAUCUAGUAAACGCAAGUCAUCAACUUGCAUUGAUUACKUCCCUGCCCUUUGUACACACCGCCCGUCGCUCCUACCGAUUGGAUAAUCCGGUGAAAAGAGUGGAAAAUCUUUAUAUUAUUGAUUAAAAGCUCUUUAAACCUUAUUAUCUAGAAGGAAGAACAAGUCGUAACAAGG
rnacentral:rRNA from 1 species